AAGUUCCGGCUGCUUUAAAGUUGCGGUUCCGGUGUUCAGAAUGCCAAGGAUGAUGGGAAGCCUGAACUUGUUUAUAGGUUUGCGAUGCAUAAUGAUGAGAAAUAAAAGCAAAAAGAUCUCCAAAAAGAAGCCAUGGUAAGAUUCAAGGUUUCACAGUCCAAGCUAAUGCCUGAGGACACGUGAAUAAGUGAUCUGAGAAAAUUGGAUUCCUGGCAAAACAAGACUCAGGUAAGAGUGGAGCACAGAGGAUGACUAGAUUAAAUGGGAAGAGUGCCCAGAUGUCCCAGUGCCCCCAUCGAUGUCCGAGAACUUCAUCUAGACAGUGAUGAGCUACACAUGUGCACCCAGAAGAGGACCAUGCAGAGUACCUUCCAGCACCAUGAACACUAAUCAGUCCGUCAGUAAUGGUGAACUUCUAGUUGGGCUCCAGCUCAAUUUUCUCAUGUUCGAUGAUGACCAAGCUCAGAAGCUCACAGCUGCCGGCAAGCACUCUACUACCGAAUGGCACCGUCUCUCCAGCCCAUGCUUACUCUUGAAUAACCACAAAAAUAGUCAAUGUGUGGGCCCUGAAAGGAACUGUUUACCUACCCUGCCCCCUGGCCACUUCUGCCUCUACCUCUGUUUACUGUGACUGUUCAACAAGGUUGCUCUGGCCCAGGCUGAGAAAUUGACUCCACCCUUACCCUGCCCCCUGGUAUGUUCCACAUCUGGUCCUAUGUAGUCACCAGGUAUGGGCUAUUUGGUACUGGACAACCAAUUGGAGUAUUGUUUGCUGGGGAGAACCACGUCUCUUGGUAAAAUCUAAACAUCAAGAAAAUCAACAACCCAAUUAAAAUGAUCUAGAGCACUAAACAGUUCUCAAAAGUACCACAAAUGGCUAGGAAACACAGAACUGUUCAACAUCCUUUGCCAUCAAGGAAACACGAAUUCUCACUUUUCAGUUUUCAUUCUGACUCUAGUCAGAAUGGUUAUCAUCGAGAAGAGCAGUGACGUGAAUGUGGAGUUCCUUGUCUAUGUCUCGGGAAAUAUUGCGGGAGUCAGGGACUAAGAGAUGGAAGAUAGGAAGGGCUGCAAAAUUCUAUCCUUGGGACUCUAGCCAUUACAAUGAUGAACUCUCAAAAACUUCAUUUACCUGAACUUAGCCUGAUCAAAACUAGGCCCUGUAAACUGUCAGUCACAGAAGGAGGAGUUCAUGGGCCUUUCCCCAUAAUGGCUAUUGACAGAGUUUGGAGAGAGGAGCAGUCAUUGUCUUCAGUUGUGUACCCACUGGUGGGCUAUCAGGCUCCAACAAAUAGGUUAAUUAGUUUCAUACCCAUGGUCACACAGGUGGCCCUGGUUGUACUCAGUAGAUCAGAAAACAGAUACGAUGUGAGAAAGAUUUGUGGGGAAGAAGUGGGGUUUGCAGGGCUGAUUUGGGAGAUGGGACAGUGUGGGAGGUUAGUGUAGUCAGUUUGUGAGAUGUACAUGCUGUCAAAGCACAACUUUGCUUGCUAAUAAAGAAUUACAUAAACAGAAUCAAGCCAUUGAACGUAUUUCUAAGUAGCUUUUCAUGUUGUGAAUGUACUAUAGUUUUAAAAGUCUCUCAGCUAUUGAAGCAGUCUGUGGUUUCUGCUUCAGAGCUCUUAGGAACAGAGUUGUCUUGAACAUUUGCUUACAGGCUUUUGUGUGGACAUAAGCUGCUUUAAAAAAAAUCUCUGUAAUAAAUGCCUAGGGGUUCAAUGGCAAUGUUAUAUCAGUAUGUAUUUAGCUUACUUUUAAAAUAAGAAAUUGUCAAAUACUUUUGCAGAGCUACUGGACCAUUUUACACCCCUGUCAACAAUGUAAGAGUGAUCCAGCUCCCCACCUUCUCAUCAACAUUUGUUAUUGUUGCUUUAAGAAAACAAGUUAGCCAUUCUAUUUAUUGAGAAUUUAUUUACCAUACAGUGCAUUGCUUAGAUAUGUAGUAUUCAGUUUUUAGUACACAUACAAGAUUAUACACAUAUCAGUUACCCCUAAUUCCAGAACAUUUCCAUUACUAUAGAAAAAGAAACCCAAUAUUCAUUUUUAUCUCUCCUCUAUGGACUUACCUAGUCUAGAUAUACGAAAUAAAUGGAAUUUUUAUAAUACA